AGAGUUUGAUCAUGGCUCAGAUUGAACGCUGGCGGCAUGCCUUACACAUGCAAGUCGAACGGUAACGCGGGGGCAACCCUGGCGACGAGUGGCGAACGGGUGAGUAAUACAUCGGAACAUAUCCAGUAGCGGGGGAUAACCUAUCGAAAGAUGGACUAAUACCGCAUACGAUCUACGGAUGAAAGCAGGGGACCGCAAGGCCUUGCACUAUUGGAGUGGCCGAUGUCGGAUUAGCUAGUUGGUGGGGUAAAGGCUUACCAAGGCGACGAUCCGUAGCUGGUCUGAGAGGACGAUCAGCCACACUGGAACUGAGACACGGUCCAGACUCCUACGGGAGGCAGCAGUGGGGAAUUUUGGACAAUGGGCGCAAGCCUGAUCCAGCCAUGCCGCGUGAGUGAAGAAGGCCUUCGGGUUGUAAAGCUCUUUCGGUGAAGACGAAACGGUUAGCGCUAAUAACGCUGACUAAUGACGGUACUCACAGAAGAAGCACCGGCUAACUACGUGCCAGCAGCCGCGGUAAUACGUAGGGUGCAGGCGUUAAUCGGAAUUACUGGGCGUAAAGCGUGCGCAGGCGGUUUGCUAAGACAGGUGUGAAAUCCCCGGGCUUAACCUGGGAAUUGCGCUUGUAACUGGCAAGCUAGAGUGUGGCAGAGGGGGGUGGAAUUCCACGUGUAGCAGUGAAAUGCGUAGAUAUGUGGAGGAACACCGAUGGCGAAGGCAGCCCCCUGGGUUAACACUGACGCUCAUGCACGAAAGCGUGGGGAGCAAACAGGAUUAGAUACCCUGGUAGUCCACGCCCUAAACUAUGUCAACUAGUUGUCGGGGAAGAAUUUCCUUGGUAACGAAGCUAACGCGUGAAGUUGACCGCCUGGGGAGUACGGCCGCAAGGUUAAAACUCAAAGGAAUUGACGGGGACCCGCACAAGCGGUGGAUUAUGUGGAUUAAUUCGAUGCAACGCGAAAAACCUUACCUACCCUUGACAUGCUAGGAAGCCCGCAGAGAUGUGGGUGUGCCCGAAAGGGAACCUAGACACAGGUGCUGCAUGGCUGUCGUCAGCUCGUGUCGUGAGAUGUUGGGUUAAGUCCCGCAACGAGCGCAACCCUUGCCAUUAGUUGCUACAUUCAGUUGGGCACUCUAAUGGGACCGCCGGUGACAAACCGGAGGAAGGUGGGGAUGACGUCAAGUCCUCAUGGCCCUUAUGGGUAGGGCUUCACACGUAAUACAAUGGUCGGUACAGAGGGCUGCCAACCCGCAAGGGGGAGCUAAUCCCAGAAAGCCGAUCGUAGUCCUGAUUGUAGUCUGCAACUCGACUGCAUGAAGCCGGAAUCGCUAGUAAUCGCGGAUCAGCAUGUCGCGGUGAAUACGUUCCCGGGUCUUGUACACACCGCCCGUCACACCAUGGGAGUGGGUUCCACCAGAAGUAGUUAGCCUAACCGCAAGGAGGGCGAUUACCACGGUGAGAUUCAUGACUGGGGUGAAGUCGUAACAAGGUA
rnacentral:rRNA from 1 species